GCUGCAAUAGCUCAGUCGAUAGAGCAUGAGACUUUUAAUCUCAGGGUCGUGGGUUCAAAAAGAUGUUGGGAAAAAGAUUCCUGCAUUGCAUGGGGUU